GGCUGCCUCUACAAAGCAAGAGAGGAAUGUACCAUCUCACAACAGUCUUACAGUCUUACAAGCAGGAGUAAACUCCCCACCCUCAAAGUGAAUGGCAGCCAUUUUUCUAGCUACAGAAGAGCAAAGCGCAGUACCACGUGCUCCUCCAGGCUGGAGCUGUCCUUGCUGGCGCUGUCUCUCCAUUUCUCUCUUAUUCUCCUGUGACGAUGGUGGGUGCACAUGUUCACAUGGAGAUGUCCAGGAUCCAAGCAAGUGGUCUGAAAGCCUGAGCCACAGCCCGUAAGGCAGGCACCCGGACAGGAACCCAGACCCACAGCAGACUUUGUCCAAGCAAUAGCGCUCCUAUGUCA
rnacentral:lncRNA from 1 species